rnacentral:lncRNA from 1 species
AAGGAUGUCAUCAUAUGGAAAUAAUGUAUGACGUAUCUCAGACAUACAUUACUAGCACUCCAUUCAAAUCAUAAAUUGUAGGAUGGAAAAGAGAAGGAAACCGGUUUUACCAUAACUUCCUUUCUUAAGCAUUUGCUUUCCUAUCCGUCAGUUCCUUCCUUUUUUAAUCUUGAUUUCAAAUAUGGAUUGAAGUAUUGAACAGGCUGGAAUUGGCAGAGACAAAACACCAUUUCUUUUAUUUUAACAAUGGUAGUGCAUCUAUUAUCUGAUAAAGCAUUCGUCAUGCAUGAACUACUAAUCAACAAUUGAAAAACUUUGAACUCUCAGAAGUUAUGCAGAUCAGAUUUGAUCUGUAGAGAAAAAUUGGCUGAGUACAUAUCUGGAUGCAUGACUGUUUGAGCAGAUGUUUCCUUUAAUCUUUGUUGUCUUACUAACCUUUCACUAUCACAUUUCAUUCACAGGAUAACUGGUGUCAUGCACAGUCCAUCAAGUAAUACCAGAUUUCUAGUUCAUACAGAUUGAGAAAUAUUUGAACUUCUACAAGAAUUUCUCCAAGGAUUGGCCCUGGCAUGAGACACUUCACAUCUGUCACAAGAGAUGACAAAUGAACCUCUCCCGGUCUAGAGAACUGAACUGUCAUACUGGAUGGGGAUCCCCGGCAGGUCCAAGAUGUCUCCAUCUUCUCCUAGAACUUGACCCCUUGCCUUGUAUGGUAAAUAAGCUAUAUGUAUCAGGUUAUAAUGCUUGAAACAUAAAGAUACUAACAUCCUGUUUUAUCCUCUGGAAGUUCUCCUUUGAUUCCAUUACUCAGUUAUAAAAGGGGAUCUUCUUCCUAAUUUUGUAAUGUUAUUUACAGGGAAUACGAUCCUUAUCUUGUAUCUAGAUUUUCCUUUGUUUAUGACCAACUUAAAUAUUUGCCAGGCUUAAUGCUUGCAACCAGUAUGAUUCAGAUUUGAGUUGCUUCUUACCGAAGUGUCAGUUUAAAGAUAAUCUCUAUUAUAAAUCUGACCUGAUGGAAAAAAGUCCUGUUCUGUCCUGUCCCCAAAGAUGAUAUCAGCUGUUGAAUAUUUGCAUGCAAGGUAUUGGUUUCUCUCUACUUUCGCCUGUCCUUAUUGUUAUUUUAUAGUAGCAGAUUCGUUUAUACAUAAUUGUUUAUUACCUGCUAUAAACAGGCAUGUUUAUACAAAUUAAAAAUAGUUAGGGUCAUGCAUAAAGUAAAAUAAACUUGACAGUCUGAACUAUUAAAGGCACUUGAAACUGAAUAAACUAAAACAGGCUUGGACAAAAUUAUGCAAGGGUGAAAGGUAAAAGAAAACAAAGAAGAUGAUUUUGAGGGAUUGUUUCUUGAGAUAAUUGAAUUUUCAAAUAACAAAUAUAUGAAAUAUAAAAGAAGGAGAAAAGAAGUUGAUAUAUCCAGACUGUAACCAGCUUGGAGAUGGGUCCUCCUUUUGAAAAGUUGUUAGUUAUUGAGAAGAGUAAUUGGUUGCAUUGCAAUGUGUCAGAUUUGUGAGCCUGUCGGGGUUAGCAUCACGUAUAUAUAUAUAUAUAUGUGUGUGUGUGUGUGUGGAGUAGAAACGAGUCAUAGUUACAGUGGGAUUGACUGAAGUUUGGAAGGAAGCUGAAGUCGCAGCAGCUUGCUUGCUGGAGUAGAGAUCCAAUGGCAUAGUUGGUGCAACAAUACAACCCUGAAAUUAAUGCCUACUGGGUUGAAGGUUGAGGUUGAGGUUAGUGAGAUUGGUGGAUGGUUGUGGUUGCCUACUGGGGCCGGUAAGCAAAGAGAGAUAUGUAGGCAUACCGCAUAUAUGGAGAGUAUGAACCAACCUCAACUCAACUGGGUCCUGUCCUGUUUGUUUAGUAUCUUCAAAGUAUUCUUCUCACCUUCAAGAACAAGACCCGUUUUUUCUUAAUUUCUUAAUAUAUAUAUUCAAUUCCUGACCAAAAUGUUUUAUCAACUUUUUAAACUCCCAUGAUUUAGCGGGUGAUACAAAAAAAGUAUGUACUCCAUCAACAAGUAAAGGGGAUGAUGAAGAGAUAUGUAAUGAUGCGUAAAGAAUAAUGUAAAGUUGACUAUAAUCACAUAUUUGUACUUUGUGAGUAAUAGCAUCUUCAUAAUUUAGCCUUAUUCCCCCUAAAAUGAACUAAACAAUUUAGUCUCGAUUUAUACUUGUUCCACGAAAAGUUCGAUUCGAACUUCACUCAAAUUUUAAAAUUUGAUAAAUUACUCUAACCUCUUCAAAUUGUUCGAAAAGUUCAAAUUGCUCGGACUUGGAUCGAGAUGAUGUUCGACUCAUAACUUAACGAGUCUCAAUCAAACCUUAUUUUAUACUCGACUCGAUUUAUUUAAAAUUAAUAAAAAUUUAUUUAAUUUUAGACAAUAUAAUUAUAAAAUUAUAAAUUUUGUAAAAUGUACUAGUAGUCGCUAGAUUCAUUCAUUGAUUUUAAAAAGUUAAAUAAAAAGAAUAAAAUCCCUUAGCUAUGGGUCGGUAGGCGAGAAUGAGAUCCACACGUCCAUGGGAGUUUAUUUCUACAAAUUCUGUUCCAUUUCCAUUUCCAUUUCAUUUCUGCAGUUGGGUUUUCGUUUUCAGAUUUAAAUUCUUAGUAAAACUGAACAAUCCACAAAAAUUGCUCUCGACACUUAUUAUUUUAUAGACUAGACUGGAACAAUGAAAAUUACAAGAGCAUUAUUGCAUAGCAUAGCAGUAUUCCAAUGUUGCUUUCUCUCUAUCUUUUACGUUGCACGUUGCGUUUAGAUUGAAAGAAUAACGGUAGGAAUGAAAAGACUCGUUCUUAUAAAAUAAAAGAAAUUGUUUACACCAAAGCUUUAACUUAGUCGGUUGAUAGAUUAGGGAGUGUUUGUUUAGAGCUGAAUGGAGCUGAAUUUGAAUGGCUGAAUCGGUAAGUACUUUUGUUUUGGUCUGAAUGACUGAAUCGGUAAGAUGAACGAACUGAAUGACUGAGUCAGAUUUUUUUUAGCUGAAUGAGUAGUUGAAUGAAGUUAAAAAAAUUUAAAAAAAAUCAAAAAAAAAAAAAUAUCAACUAUUAUAUUAAGUAAUAUUAAAUAAAUUUGAAUUUUUUCAGAGGGGUAAAAUAAUAAAGUUUUGUCAUUUAGAUGUUUCAAACAUGUCAAUUAUCAAACAACUUUUUUCAUUCAGAUUCAAAUUCAGCUCAUUCAGAUUCAGAUUCAGAUUCAUUCAAUUUUUAUAACACCCCUAGAUCUCCUUCCUUUUUUUUAAAAAAAUAAUAAAAAAUAAAUUAAAUUCUUAAAAUUCUUCUACUAAGUUUGAGACUAUAGCCUAAAUGUAUGUAAUUUAAUUUUAUCAUACCAUCAAGCAUAACUUUGUUUCAACUUGUGUAAUACAUUUUUUUAAUGUUUAUUUUAUUAAGGAAGAGGAGAAUAUAAAUAUUCAUCAAAUUAUAUAAAUUCUAAUUUUUAGUUUUUAAAAAAAUGUAUAAUAAUAAAAAAAAAAACAACAACUAGUAAGUAGUAACGCAAGUACUACUACUACUACCUUAUAAUUAUUGAUUUAAUAUUUUACCAAGUGUCGGUACGUUGUCUCUGAUAAGAUGCGUUAGAACCUAAAAAUUAAUAUCCAUACAUUUAUUUUAUUUUUGGCGAAAAACCCGACAACUAAUAUUUAAUAGUAGUAAUUCAAACUCAUUAAUCAAUCAGUUAAUUACUCCAUUAUUCUAAUUCAUAAAUAAUGCAAUUAAUAAUACAAACCAGCCAACGACCAUCCCUCUCCCUCCUUUGCCUAGAAAUUCAAUUAUAGUAUUAAUUAAUUAUUAAACACAAAGGCACAAAAAAAUAGGUUGUACCGUCUCUAUCGUACUACGUGUGCACAUAAUUUCAGCCGGAAGAUCACCAAAUGCUAGUUCUGAUCAACGGUUCACACACCGCCACGUGUGAGGUCUUAAGUUAAUCCUACGACGUCAAACUGUCGGUGGCAUUCGGCUUAUCUAGACUUGGGCUUUUGUUACAAGUAUUAGUAAUAUUUUAUUCUAACCUAUAUUUUAUGAAUAAUGCUAGAGACACAAACUAUUCUACAAAUAUUUUAUAAAUUGUUGAUGUGGCAUACUCCACAUCAGCAUAUUGUGUGGAGUCGAAGACUACAUUAAAAUAAUUUGUAAAUCAAUAUCCUGAAGUGGAGUAUGUCACAUCAACAGUUUAUAAAAUAUUUAUAAAAUAGUUUGUGUCUGUAGCAUUACUCAUAUUUUAUAGUACAAAGUUAAUUUUGGUUAAUUGAUCAACACAAUAUUGAUAAACAGUUCGGAGAUGAUCUCUCUGCGUGUCAGUACCGACUUAUUAUAAAAUUAACUUUAUGGUAAUCGAAUAUCUAAAAUAAAGGCCAACAUUGCUUAUCAAUUAGUAAAAAUGUUGGGUUGAGAAUACCAUCAAUACAAAAUUUUCACAUUCCUCUCAAAUUUUAAGUAAUAUUUAUAAACAAACUUAAAAUUGGUCGACAAGCGAGCGGCCGAUAGAGAGUUUUUACCGGUUUCACCAGUCGCCUAAACUUGACAUUGAAACACAAGCACCCCCUACCUACAUCAAAGACCUCUCCCUCUCCGCUCUGUAGCUGUAGUAUGUAUUAAUGUGUGGAUGUUAUUGCCUUAUUGCUUCAAGUAAGUAGUAGAUAUCAGGUUCAGGUCCAGGUCCAGGUCCAGGUCCAGGUAUUAUAUUUAAGCACUUUCCCACACCGACACAUUUGACAGUCAAAACCCAAGGCGCACCGUAGAGUAGCGGUGUACGUGAACAUUACCCUUCCUUUUGUUGAAAAAAAAAAGUUUCCUCUUCUGGAGUUUUUCUUUUUUUCUCAAGCUUUGAACACGACACAAGCUUUGGCGGCUUCCAUUUAUAUAAUUUUCAUAACACAGGAAAUUUUUCAUUAGUAUAAAAUUAUUUGUAUUUGUAUUCUCCGGUCAUUGUUCUGUUCGCUGUCCAUUCAUUUCUUUAUUUCUUCUGUUUUACUUGUUUUUUCUCUCUGUCUCUCGCUCUCUCCUCUUCUUCAUAAGAAAACCAAAAGAAAGAGUCAAAAAACUGAAGGAAUUGAUUUCAUAAUUCCCCAGUUCUUAUUUCUAAAUCUGGGUGGACAUUGGUUUGAUUUCACGGAGUACUAGAAUUAUCCUAGUUUUCUACAAUUUUGGUAGAUAAUUGAUUGAUUGGCCUCAUUUGGGUACAAGUACAGAGAUCUGAAAAUCUUUUUACAGCUCCGCAACCCCGGAUUCUCACAGACAAAAUUGCCCAAGAAAAGUUGCAGUCUUUCCGGUACCGGCAAUCUAUCCGGCCAUCUUUUUUGGUGUAAAGAUUUUUGCCGGUAUAUCUAAAAGCCCGUAUUUUCCUAAUUUUCCUCUCUCCUAGACGUGCCUAACUGGUCUGGCUUUGUCUGUAAUGUGUAUUGUAUCUAUGAUUUUUGAUUCUUCUCUACAGAUCGGAACAGAGUCAAUGCUUUGAUUUCGGUCUCUUUCUCUCUUCAACUCAACAAUUGUUUUGUUGACUUAAAACAGUUUUUUUGCUUCAACCCAUUUGCCAAAAUUAAAGAAAGAAAAUGAUGCGGAUGAAGAAUAUGAACACCCAAGUGCCACCUAUGAACGGCAGCUCCGGUGGAGCUGAAAAUGAAUGGGAAUUGAGACCAGGAGGAAUGCUGGUUCAGAAGCGAAACCCAGAUUCAGAUCAGAACCGCCUGCCACCGCCACCAACCAUUAGAGUUCGGGUCAAAUUCGGGUCCACAUACCAUGAAAUCUAUAUCAACUCUCAAGCCACUUUUGGUAAAACUAACAUAGUUUCUGUCUCAAUUGUAGUUGUCAAUUAUGUAGUUCAAGAUUAAUUUUUUAUUAUAUAUUUUUUGGAUUGUGGAAUUUGAAUUGCAGGAGAGUUGAAGAAGAUGUUAUCAGGGCCUACUGGCUUGCACCAUGAAGACCAGAAGCUGAUGUUUAAAGAUAAGGAGAGAGACCCUAAAACAUUCUUGGAUGUUGCGGGUGUUAAGGAUAAGUCGAAGAUUGUGCUAGUUGAGGAUCCGAUUAGCCAAGAGAAGAGGUACCUUGAAAUGAGAAGAAAUGCCAAGAUGGAGAAGGCUGCCAAAUCCAUUUCCGAAAUUAGUUUGGAGGUUGAUAGGCUAGCUGGACAGGUAAAUUAAUUUAUUUUUUAAAAAAUAAAAUAUAAUCUUUGUAAAUUAUAGUUGAGUUUGGACUGGGAUUUUGAUUGACGGAAAAGAGUUUGAUAACAGAGAUUGAUUAUUUGAGGUUACUGAAUUUUUUUGUGAUGGGUAUUGGGUAGGUGUCAGCACUUGAAUCUGUGAUAUCUAAAGGUGGGAAAGUUGCGGAGAAGCAAGUUUUGACUCUAAUCGAGCUGUUGAUGAACCAAUUGCUUAAACUGGACGGAAUUAUUGCAGAUGGAGAUGUGAAAUUGCAGAGGCGAAUGCAGGUAAUUUUGAUGUUAAUUGGGUUGCAGACUUUGAACUGUAAUGAUUUCAAAGACUUAACUUCUAAUUGUCCAUCAAUUUGAAGGUGAAAAGAGUGCAGAAGUGUGUUGAAACUCUUGAUAUCUUAAAGGUCAAAAACUUGACCCCGAGCAGCAAUGGAACUCAUAAUAGUCCAGAGCAGCUGCAGCAGCAGCCAAAGAAGCAGCAAUCACCAAUUCAAAAGCAUCAACUGAGGUAUCCACCAGAUGGGCAAAUGCCAUCCCCGAGGACCCCAACUCAAAAUCAACAAUCAAGGCAUUCGGUUGGGCAUUUACCAUUACAAAUGCAGCAGCAGCAGCAGCAGCAGCAGCAGCCAGCAAGACACUCAGCAUCAGGCUCGGUUGUCAUAACCACGCAAUGGGAGACAUUUGACCCUAUUCCAGCAAUGCCUUUACCGGUCCCCCCUCCAACAUCAAAUGCCGCAUCAAGCACCAAUAAUACAGCGCAUCCUAAAUUCAAUUGGGAUUUACUUUAAGUGGUAAAGUGCAUGUUCUAGUGUGUGAAUGUGUGUUUUGAAUUUUUCUUGAGUUGGUUUGGUAUCUAUUCUCCAUUCUUUUCUUGUAUUUAGAGUCUUGUUCCCUUUUAUCUGUCAUUUACUUCUUUAAAUAAAUGGGGCAACUACUAUAGCUACUAAUAUUACAUUCUCUUUUAAUUCUAUUUGCUCAAGUUAUUCUUCCUACUUGUAAUGUUUCCGCCUUUCCGGUAUUGAUAGUGGCGAUGAUCAAAGUAUGUAGAUUAUAUAUUUUACUUGAGAAAAUAGGAUUUUAUAUGAAAGAGAUGUAUUUUGCAACCUUAUUUCUGUGUCCUUUCAACUAGGCAAUUAAAGCAGCAGGUAAAUCCUAGUCUAGGUUUCUCUAUAACAUGAGUAGAAGUAGAGGUUCAUGUAUAAUAAUUAGUCCUUAUUCCUUGCUUCCUGUGGAGGAUACAAAAUGACUAAAAGGGAAGAUGAAUUAAGCAGAUUUAGUAAUCAUACAGCUAACCCACAGCUGAUACAAGGACAUGUCUGAUUACAGUGGGGUACAGAAAAUGAUGACANNNNNNNNNNNNNNNNNNNNNNNNNNNNNNNNNNNNNNNNNNNNNNNNNNNNNNNNNNNNNNNNNNNNNNNNNNNNNNNNNNNNNNNNNNNNNNNNNNNNUUACAGGUGGUAAGCUAGCAAUAAAAUUCCGCUUGCGUUAACUCCCAGUGAAGCUAAAGUUGCUAUCUCAUGAUUUGGUGAAUGUCCAACAACUAAAUUAUGUAUCUGAUUGGGUUUGAGAUCUGUAUCGCUUGAUUAUUUGCUAGGAAAAGGCAGCUUAAAACUGAACCCUUUUCCAUAACUGAAAAUCUUUUUCAAGUGUCUAUAGAACUUAUGUUUUCCUGAAAAAAGAAAACUGCUUAUUGGUUCAGCUUAUUUCAGUUAUUGGGAUGAUGCUAAUUCUAGCUUGAAAAUAUUGCAUUUACAGGAUAGCAAGUACAAUCUUGGGCAGCAUUCUACAAAUAAUGCACAAUAGUUAUAUAGUCUUUUUUGGUCGUUCGGAAGCAAUUAUUUUUCUUGCGGUCCAAUAACAAGUUGAGGAAUAUUAAUUAUUCACAAUAUGUGGUGUAUAUUCUAUUUCACAUAUAUUUUUUUUGACAUCCCCACUUAUAAUAUCUUCGGUGGAGCUUGGACCAAGUUUGCACUAGUUCAGUUUAGCAAGAAAAAAUUGUUGUAAUCCUUUCGUACUAGUAAUUGAUUUAAUAGCCAACAAGACAAUGAGAUGAAAGCGGACGGUUCAAC